rnacentral:rRNA from 1 species
UGAUCAGCAUGCGCGUGUGUGAAGAAGGCUUUUGGUUGUAAAGCACUUUAAGCGAGGAGGAGGCUACCGAGAUUAAUACUCUUGGAUAGUGGACGUUACUCGCAGAAUAAGCACCGGCUAACUCUGUGCCAGCAGCCGCGGUAAUACAGAGGGUGCAAGCGUUAAUCGGAUUUACUGGGCGUAAAGCGCGCGUAGGUGGCCAAUUAAGUCAAAUGUGAAAUCCCCGAGCUUAACUUGGGAAUUGCAUUCGAUACUGGUUGGCUAGAGUAUGGGAGAGGAUGGUAGAAUUCCAGGUGUAGCGGUGAAAUGCGUAGAGAUCUGGAGGAAUACCGAUGGCGAAGGCAGCCAUCUGGCCUAAUACUGACACUGAGGUGCGAAAGCAUGGGGAGCAAACAGGAUUAGAUACCCGCG